rnacentral:rRNA from 1 species
AGCGAACGCUGGCGGCAGGCCUAACACAUGCAAGUCGAACGAACUCUUCGGAGUUAGUGGCGGACGGGUGAGUAACACGUGGGAACGUGCCCUUUGGUUCGGAAUAACUCAGGGAAACUUGUGCUAAUACCGAAUGUGCUCUUCGGGGGAAAGAUUUAUCGCCAUUAGAGCGGCCCGCGUCUGAUUAGCUAGUUGGUGAGGUAACGGCUCACCAAGGCGACGAUCAUUAGCUGGUCUGAGAGGAUGACCAGCCACACUGGGACUGCGACACGGCCCAGACUCCUACGGGAGGCAGCAGUAGGGAAUCUUGCGCAAUGAGCGAAAGCCUGACGCAGCCAUGCCGCGUGAAUGAUGAAGGUCUUAGGAUUGUAAUAUUCUUUCACCGGGGACGAUAAUGACGGUACCCGGAGAAGAAGCCCCGGCUAACUUCGUG